rnacentral:rRNA from 2 species
UCACAGGGCAUGAAACCGUUGAGAGGUAAACGGGUGGGGUCUGCACAGUCUGCCCGGAGGAUUCAACCCGGCGGGUUUGGUUGGCCCGGCCUGGGAUCGCGGAUCCCCUUGGGUGGGGACCGUCAACUGGCAUCGGCAUCUCCGUCGAGCGCACUUCUUCCGAGGCGGAAAGCCGCGACCGGCUCCGGUUUGGCCAGGAAGGGUCGGGGGGUGAAGGUGGCCCCAGGGCUGUGGGCAGUGUCCUCGCGCCUUCUCUCCUCCUGCGUGCGUCAACCGGGGCGGACUGUCCUCAGUCCGUCUCCGACCGCUCCGUGCCAUAAGGGCGGGGAUCAGGCCCUCGUAAAGGGUGCUCGAGGUUGGUGGCGAGGUCGGCCACCCACCCUACCCGUCUUGAAACACAGACCAAGGAGUCUAACACACUCGU